rnacentral:rRNA from 1 species
AAACUAACUAGGAUGCCUUCAGUAACGGCGAGCGAAGCAGGCAUAGCUCAAAUUUGUAAUCUGUCACCUCUGGUGUCCGAGUUGUAAUUUCUAGAAGCGAGUUCGGCGACAGCUCCUACCCAAGUCCGUUGGAACGCGGCGUCAUGGAGGGUGAGAAUCCCGUGAAUGGUAGGAUGUCUGCUGCUAUGUGAACCGCCUUCGAAGAGUCGAGUUGUUUGGGAAUGCAGCUCUAAUUGGGAGGUAAAUUUCUUCUAAAGCUAAAUAUUGGCCAGAGACCGAUAGCGAACAAGUAGAGUGAUCGAAAGAUGAAAAGAACUUUGAAAAGAGAGUUAAACAGUACGUGAAAUUGUUGAAAGGGAAGCGCUUGAGAUCAGACUUCCUGUCUGGACUGUCCUUGCUUUUGCUUGGGUCAACAGUCCAGGCGUGGAGGCCAGCAUCAGUUUUGACGGCCGGAUAAAGGCCUUGGAAAGGUAGCUCCCCUCGGGGAGUGUUAUAGUCCAGGGUGUAAUACGGCCAGUUGGGACUGAGGACCGCGGCUUUUGCCUAGGAUGCUGGCGUAAUGGUCUUAAGCGAC